rnacentral:rRNA from 1 species
AGCAGUCGCCGCGGUAAUACGAAGGGUGCAAGCGUUACUCGGAAUUACUGGGCGUAAGGCGUGCGUAGGUGGUGGUUUAAGUCCGUUGUGAAAGCCCUGGGCUCAACCUGGGAAUUGCAGUGGAUACUGGGUCACUAGAGUGUGGUAGAGGAUAGUGGAAUUUCCGGUGUAGCAGUGAAAUGCGUAGAGAUCGGAAGGAACAUCUGUGGCGAAGGCGACUAUCUGGGCCAACACUGACACUGAGGCACGAAAGCGUGGGGAGCAAACAAGAUUAGAUACCCCCGUAGUCCCUGUCUCUUAUAC